CUUCCCCCAGUGGGCCAUGUGCUGCAGGGUUUGUUUGUAUUGGGGGGGCCUCUGCACCUUCACCACUUGACAGUCUGACUGGAUUCCCAUGCCCUCCUGGCUUCUUCUGCUCUGUGGGGACAUCUGUACCAAAACCAUGCCCAAAAGGAACAUUCAGUGAGCAGAGCGGGCUUAUGGAUGAGUCUCAGUGUCGCAACUGCAGUCCUGGCUUCUACUGUUCAGAGACCGGCCUCUCUGGAGUCUCUGGACCCUGCUUGCCAGGUUUCUACUGUUUAGAGGGAUCCCAGAUUGCUACUCCAAUGUCAAGUGUAUCUGGAGGUAUUUGUCCAGCAGGUCACUACUGUGCAGAGGGCAGCAGUGUACCCUCACCCUGCCCAGCUGGCUCAUACCGAAAUGCAACUGGAGGAAAAGGCAAAGAUGACUGCAAACCAUGC